rnacentral:rRNA from 1 species
CCUACGGGCGGCAGCAGUCGAGAAUCAUUCACAAUGGGGGAAACCCUGAUGGUGCGACGCCGCGUGGGGGAAUGAAGGUCUUCGGAUUGUAAACCCCUGUCAUGUGGGAGCAAAUUAAAAAGAUAGUACCACAAGAGGAAGAGACGGCUAACUCUGUGCCAGCAGCCGCGGGAAUACAGAGGUCUCAAGCGUGGUUCGGAAGCACUGGGCGUAAAGCGUGCGUAGGCUGUUUCGUAAGUCGUGUGUGAAAGGCGCGGGCUCAACCCGAGGACGGCACAUGAUACUGGGAGACUAGAGUAAUGGAGGGGGAACCGGAAUUCUCGGUGUAGCAGUGAAAUGCGUAGAUAUCGAGAGGAACACUCGUGGCGAAGGCGGGUUCCUGGACAUUAACUGACGCUGAGGCACGAAGGCCAGGGGAGCGAAAGGGAUUAGAUACCCGAGUAGUC